rnacentral:rRNA from 1 species
UACGUAGGGAGCAAGCGUUGUCCGGAAUCAUUGGGCGUAAAGCGCGCGUAGGCGGCUCGAUCAGUCUGUUGUGAAAGUCAAAGGCUCAACCUUUGAAUGCCGAUGGAUACUGUCGAGCUAGAGUCCGGAAGAGGCGGGUGGAAUUCCUGGUGUAGCGGUGGAAUGCGCAGAUAUCAGGAGGAACACCAACGGCGAAGGCAGCCCGCUGGGACGGUACUGACGCUAAGGCGCGAAAGCGUGGGGAGCGAACGAGG